AUCGAACGCUGGCGGCAGGCCUAACACAUGCAAGUCGAGCGGAGCGGCGGGCGGGCGAGUAAUGCCUAGGAAUCUGCCUGGUAGUUGGGGAUAACGUCCGGAAACGGGCGCUAAUACCGCACACUAUUAGAUGUGCCUAGGCCGGAGUAGCUAGUUGGUGGGGUAAAGGCGUACCAAGGCGACGAUCCGUAACUGGUCUGAGAGGCUGAUCAGCCACACUGGAAAUGAGACACGGUCCAAACUCCUACGGGAGGCAGCAGUGGGGAAUAGUGGGCAAUGGGCGAAAGCCUGACGCAGCAAUGCCGCGUGUGUGAAGAAGGUCUUCGGAUUGUAAAGCACUUUUAGUAGGGAGGCGUUACCUGCAGAGUAAGCACCGGCUAACUUCGUGCCAGCAGCCGCGGUAAUUC
rnacentral:rRNA from 1 species